rnacentral:rRNA from 1 species
UACGAAGGGGGCUAGCGUUGCUCGGAAUCACUGGGCGUAAAGGGUGCGUAGGCGGGUCUUAAGUCAGGGGUGAAAUCCUGGAGCUCAACUCCAGAACUGCCUUUGAUACUGAAGAUCUUGAGUUCGGGAGAGGUGAGUGGAACUGCGAGUGUAGAGGUGAAAUUCGUAGAUAUUCGCAAGAACACCAGUGGCGAAGGCGGCUCACUGGCCCGGUACUGACGCUGAGGUGCGAAAGCGUGGGGAGCAAACAGGG